UCCUACGGGGGGCAGCAGUUGGGAAUAUUGGACAAUGGAGGAAACUCUGAUCCAGUGACGCCGCGUGAAGGAAGAAGGUCUUCGGAUUGUAAACUUAUUUUAUCAGGGAAGAAAAAAAUGACUGUACCUGAAGAAGAAGCACCGGCUAACUAUGUGCCAGCAGCCGCGGUAAUACAGAGGUCUCAAGCGUUGUUCGGAAUCACUGGGCGUAAAGCGUGCGUAGGCUGUUUCGUAAGUCGUGUGUGAAAGGCGCGGGCUCAACCCGCGGACGGCACAUGAUACUGCGAGACUAGAGUAAUGGAGGG
rnacentral:rRNA from 1 species